GACGAACGCUGGCGGCGUGCUUAACACAUGCAAGUCGAACGAUGAAGCUGGAGCUUGCUCUGGUGGAAGAGUGGCGAACGGGUGAGUAACACGUGAGUAACCUGCCCAUCACUCUGGGAUAAGCGCUGGAAACGGUGUCUAAUACUGGAUAUGAACAGCGGCCGCAUGGUCAGUUGUUGGAAAGAUUUAUCGGUGGUGGAUGGACUCGCGGCCUAUCAGCUUGUUGGUGAGGUAAUGGCUCACCAAGGCGACGACGGGUAGCCGGCCUGAGAGGGUGACCGGCCACACUGGGACUGAGACACGGCCCAGACUCCUACGGGAGGCAGCAGUGGGGAAUAUUGCACAAUGGGCGCAAGCCUGAUGCAGCAACGCCGCGUGAGGGAUGACGGCCUUCGGGUUGUAAACCUCUUUUAGUAGGGAAGGAGCGGAAGUGACGGUACCUGCAGAAAAAGCACCGGCUAACUACGUGCCAGCAGCCGCGGUAAGAC
rnacentral:rRNA from 1 species